rnacentral:lncRNA from 1 species
GCUCUAAUUAGUACGAGGUCUUUUGAGAAUGAGCCCAAAAGUAAAUAAUCCAUGCGGACUAGUUAAGGUCCAAAAUAGAUAAUAUCGUACUAAUCAAACAGUAUAGAGUAGGACAUGGACUUUCACAAUCCAACAAUUGAUAUCAGAGCCAGGUUGACGAGAUAAAUUCAAGAAUACCAAAAUACCCUUCGAUUUAUGUAUAGGAAAUAUGUGUGGCAGAGAUCAAGUCAUAAGAUCCUGAAAGUUAGUUGUGG